GACAGAGGGUGCAAACGUUGUUCGGAAUUACUGGGCGUAAAGCGCGUGUAGGCUGCUCGGAAAGUCGGAUGUGAAAGCCCUGGGCUCAACCUAGGAAGUGCAUUCGAAACUUCCGAGCUGGAGUACUGGAGAGGAAGGCGGAAUUCUCGGUGUAGAGGUGAAAUUCGUAGAUAUCGAGAGGAACACCAGUGGCGAAGGCGAGUCCCUGGACAACACCUGACACUGAGGCACGAAAGCUAGGGGAGCAAACAGG
rnacentral:rRNA from 1 species